CUCCUGGGAACGGGUGGGUAAUGCCGGAUGCUCCGCCCCCUCGCAUGGGGGGUCGGGAAGGCUUUUGCGGAAUGGGAUGGGGUCGCGUCCUAUCAGCUUGUUGGCGGGGCGACGGCCCACCAAGGCUUCGACGGGUAGCCGGCCUGAGAGGGCGACCGGCCACAUUGGGACUGAGAUACGGCCCAGACUCCUACGGGAGGCAGCAGUGGGGAAUAUUGCACAAUGGGGGGAACCCUGAUGCAGCGACGCCGCGUGCGGGAUGGGGGCCUUCGGGUCGUGAACCGCUUUUGAUUGGGAGCAAGCGUGAGUGAGUGUACCUUUCGAAUAAGCACCGGCUAACUACGUGCCAGCAGCCGCGGUAAUACGUAGGGUGCAAGCGUUGUCCGGAAUCAUUGGGCGUAAAGGGCUCGUAGGCGGUUCGUCGCGUCCGGUGUGAAAGCCCAUCGCUUAACGGUGGGUCUGCGCCGGGUACGGGCGGGCUUGAGUGCGGCAGGGGAGGCUGGAAUUCCCGGCGUAACGGUGGAAUGUGUAGAUAUCGGGAAGAACACC
rnacentral:rRNA from 1 species